GACGAACGCUGGCGGCGUGCUUAACACAUGCAAGUCGAACGGAAAGGCCCUGCUUUUGUGGGGUGCUCGAGUGGCGAACGGGUGAGUAACACGUGAGUAACCUGCCCUUGACUUUGGGAUAACUUCAGGAAACUGGGGCUAAUACCGGAUAGGAGCUCCUGCUGCAUGGUGGGCGUUGGAAAGUUUCGGCGGUUGGGGAUGGACUCGCGGCUUAUCAGCUUGUUGGUUGGGUAGUGGCUUACCAAGGCAUGGACGGGUAGCCGGCCUGAGAGGGUGACCGGGCACAUUGGGACUGAGAUACGGCCCAGACUGGUACGGGAGGCAGCGGUGGGGAAUAUUGCACAAUGGGCGGAAGCCUGAUGCGACAACGCCGCGUGCGGGAUGACGGCCUUCGGGUUGUAAACCGCUUUCGGCUGUGACGAAGCGUGAGUGACGGUAAUGGGUGAAGAAGCACCGGCUAACUACGUG
rnacentral:rRNA from 1 species